rnacentral:misc_RNA from 1 species
AAGUCGUAACAAGGUUUCCGUAGGUGAACCUGCGGAAGGAUCAUUAACACGGUCGUACUCGUACGUCCGUUAGAAAAAGCAGCAUCCCUGGUAAAUCAUCGCCGAACAGUUUUCGAUUCAGGGACGUCUGCAAGGAGCGUGCAUGUUGUGCGAGCAAGUGGCCUGGCAUCCCCAAGCAGUUAGUGUCUGAAAGUGUCAUUAACUGUGUAAGGAUGACGCAGUCACGAUCGUUGGAGGCCCACACGGCCGACGACCGGGUCACUGGGCGCAAGCCCCCCUAUAACAAACGCUGCUAAGCGCGGCCGCGAUAAUACGCAGUCGACCAAAAACCGAACAACUGUUAACAAUGGAUAUCUUGGUUCUC